GUUGGGCAUGGUGGAGCACACACAAAAUCAACUGCUGGGGAGGCUGAGGCUGGUGGAUUGCUUGAGCUCGGGAGUUCUGAGCUACAGUAGAACUGAACUCAUUGGGUGUCCACAUUAAGUCUGGCACCAAUAUGGUGAACCCCCAGGAAUAGGGGGUCACUAAGCUGCUUAAGGAGGGGGUAAACUGGCCCAGGUCAGAAAUAGAGCAGGUCAAAGUUCCUGUGUUAAUCAGAGUCAGACCUGCCCCAUGAGUGGCCCUGGUACUUUCAGCUGAGGGUGAGAGAGGGAGCUGCAGUCUAU
rnacentral:SRP_RNA from 1 species